rnacentral:rRNA from 1 species
UCUUGUGCGAAGGUAGCAUAAUCAUUAGUCUUUUAAUUGAAGGCUUGUAUGAAUGGUUGGACAAAAAGUAAUCUGUCUCAGUUAUAAUAGUUGAACUUAACUUUUAAGUGAAAAGGCUUAAAUACUUUAAGGGGACGAUAAGACCCUAUAAAACUUAACAAUAAUUUGAUUAAAUUAUAAAUUGUUAGUAUAACUUGAUUUUAAUUAAUGUUUGUUGCGUUGGGGCGACGGGAAUAUAAUUAGUAACUGUUCUUAAAUAUUUUAUUAACAAGUAUAAUUGAAGAAUAAUUGAUCCUUUAUUAAAGAUUAAAAGAUUAAGUUACUUUAGGGAUAACAGCGUAAUCUUCUUUGAGAGUCCUCAUCGACAAGAAGGUUUGCGACCUCGAUGUUGAAUUAAGGA